AUGGUAAUUAAUUUAAAACGUACUUCCCCCUGUCCCUGCCUCGCGUCGGCACUAGACGUGGUUGUUUCAUGGCAGCUGUGGUCAGGAAGGUCUCUCGAGGUCCCCCUCCAGGACAAUGAUGUAUUUAAGUCCCCUAAGAGGUCAGAUGGUCUCUGUCCAGAACAUCACCUGCAAUCAAUAGUGUUGGUAAACCAGGCUCAACUGAGUGGCCAUGAAGACUCCCCUUAUAAACACGCUCACAGAGAGGCCGGCAUGGCCCAUUGCUUUGCUAAAACCGCAACCAACAUCCUGACACACACAUACACACACACGCAACACAUGCCACCACUCUGAAAACAAGUGUUGAUGACAAAGAGAAGAAAAAUAACAGCACCUCAGCGCCAUACUCUUUGCAUUCAGCAUCACUCUGUCAUAGGAAAGGUUGCACAUUCUCCUUAACGCACAGGUGAAUUGGGUGCACUGCUUCAAUCAAGGCUUCACUAUUGGGUUUGAGAGUCAUCUUAGCCCAGACAACAAAAGCAAACGCUACAGUGAGUGUCUCUACUGUAAGUGGCUUUUGAAGAAUUGGCACAGUCAUCUGGCGAACACCUCACAUCUCUCACAAACAAAUGAAGGCCUGGUGCUUCAAAGUGAGAUUGAUAUCUCUCUCUGAACUUCAACCAGAAUAUUCUGAAUAUUGAGAGAGGUGCACUCCUCCCACGGGACCGCCUAGGCGCCUCUCUCCUCCCUCGUUCCGCCAAAGAGGGGGAAAAAGAUUGCCCCUGAUCUUCCAUGUUCAUCAAUAUUCACUCAUUCAUCGUGAGCCAUGGCAGCUGAAAUUUGGCCUACUAUUGCUGAAUGGAUGACCCAGGGAUCCACUGUGUUGUCAUGAGGUUGUCUGCAAUUGAGAUUUAGGGUUAAAACAGAACAAUACACAAUUUUUAUGAAAUUCAGACUCAUCUACAUAUUUUAUGUUGUGACAGAAAACUUUUCAAUUUGCUCUGCAAGUUCUUAAGAUUACCCAGCCAUUUAAUAAGCCUAGAAUAGAUGUAUCUACUUGUUCUGCUUUCUGUUUGCCAAAUAUUAAAUUGUUUUUCCCUUUCUGUUUUUACUUAGAAAUAUUUUUCAAAUAAAAUAAAGGAAACUACUGCA
ensembl:lncRNA